UACGUAGGUGGCAAGCGUUAUCCGGAAUUAUUGGGCGUAAAGAGCGCGCAGGUGGUUGAUUAAGUCUGAUGUGAAAGCCCACGGCUUAACCGUGGAGGGUCAUUGGAAACUGGUAGACUUGAGUGCAGAAGAGGGAAGUGGAAUUCCAUGUGUAGCGGUGAAAUGCGUAGAGAUAUGGAGGAACACCAGUGGCGAAGGCGGCUUCCUGGUCUGUAACUGACACUGAGGCGCGAAAGCGUGGGGAGCAAACAGGAUUAGAUA
rnacentral:rRNA from 1 species